UACGGGGGGGGCAAGCGUUGUUCGGAAUUACUGGGCGUAAAGGGCGCGUAGGCGGUCUACUAAGUUGGAUGUGAAAACUCUGGGCUUAACCCAGAGCCUGCAUUCAAAACUGAUAGGCUGGAGUUCUGGAGGGGAUAGCGGAAUUCCUGGUGUAGCGGUGAAAUGCGUAGAUAUCGGGAGGAACACCUGUGGCGAAAGCGGCUCACUGGACCACAACUGACGCUGAGGCGCGAAAGCUAGGGGAGCAAACAGG
rnacentral:rRNA from 1 species